rnacentral:rRNA from 1 species
UACGGAGGAUCCAAGCGUUAUCCGGAUUUAUUGGGUUUAAAGGGUGCGUAGGUGGAUCUUUAAGUCAGUGGUGAAAGCCUAGAGCUUAACUCUAGAACUGCCAUUGAUACUGAAGAUCUUGAGUGCAGUUGAGGCGGGCGGUAUGUGUCAUGUAGCGGUGAAAUGCUUAGAUAUGACACAGAACACCGAUUGCGAAGGCAGCUCGCUAAACUGUAACUGACACUGAGGCACGAAAGCGUGGGGAGCAAACAGG